UGGGGAAUAUUGGACAAUGGGCGCAAGCCUGAUCCAGCAAUGCCGCGUGUGUGAAGAAGGCCUUCGGGUUGUAAAGCACUUUUAUCAGGAGCGAAACGCUGUCGGCUAAUACCCGGCGGAACUGACGGUACCUGAGGAAUAAGCACCGGCUAACUUCGUGCCAGCAGCCGCGGUAAUACGAAGGGUGCAAGCGUUAAUCGGAAUUACUGGGCGUAAAGCGUGCGUAGGCGGUUUCUUAAGUCUGCUGUGAAAUCCCCGGGCUCAACCUGGGAAUGGCAGUGGAUACUGGGAGGCUAGAGUGUGUCAGAGGGUGGUGGAAUUCCCGGUGUAGCGGUGAAAUGCGUAGAGAUCGGGAGGAACAUCAGUGGCGAAGGCGGCCACCUGGGACAACACUGACGCUGAGGCACGAAAGCGUGGGGAGCAAACAGGAUUAGAUACCCUGGUAGUCCACGCCCUAAAGCGAUGCGAACUGGAUGUUGGUCUCAACUCGGAGAUCAGUGUCGAAGCUAACGCGUUAAGUUCGCCGCCUGGGGGAGUACGGUCGCAAGACUGAAACUCAAAUGAAUUGACGGGGUCAUAGCUGUUUCCUG
rnacentral:rRNA from 1 species